AUUGAACGCUGGCGGCAGGCCUAACACAUGCAAGUCGAGCGAGCGGCGGACGGGUGAGUACUGUCUGGGAAACUGCCUGAUGGAGGGGGAUAACUACUGGAAACGGUAGCUAAUACCGCAUACCAUCAGAUGUGCCCAGAUGGGAUUAGCUGGUAGGUGUGGUAACGGCGCACCUAGGCGACGAUCCCUAGCUGGUCUGAGAGGAUGACCAGCCACACUGAAACUGAGAAACGGUCCAGACACCUACGGUAGGCAGCAUGGGGGAGUAUUGCACAAUGGGCGCAAGCCUGAGGCAGCCGUGCCGGGUGUGUGAAGAAGGCCUUCGGGUGGUAAAGCACUUUCUGCGGGGAGGCGUUACCCGCAGAAGAAGCACCGGCUAACUCCGUGCCAGCAGCCGCGGUAAUA
rnacentral:rRNA from 1 species